UUGGCCCGCAGGGCGAGUAUCAGGAUGAUACGAGUAAAAUCUGCGUUCAGGUUCGAGCCGAGCGAAGCGAGACAGCAACGCGCCAGCGUUGACCCGAAGGCCGAGUAAUUCCGCACGACCUACAA
rnacentral:sRNA from 1 species